GCAUGUCUAAGUAUAAGCAACUAUACGGUGAAACUGCGAAUGGCUCAUUAAAUCAGUUAUCGUUUAUUUGAUAGUACCUUACUACAUGGAUAACCGUGGUAAUUCUAGAGCUAAUACAUGCUAAAAACCUCGACUUCGGAAGGGGUGUAUUUAUUAGAUAAAAAACCAAUGCCCUUCGGGGCUCCUUGGUGAAUCAUAAUAACUUAACGAAUCGCAUGGCCUUGCGCCGGCGAUGGUUCAUUCAAAUUUCUGCCCUAUCAACUUUCGAUGGUAGGAUAGUGGCCUACCAUGGUAUCAACGGGUAACGGGGAAUUAGGGUUCGACUCCGGAGAGGGAGCCUGAGAAACGGCUACCACAUCCAAGGAAGGCAGCAGGCGCGCAAAUUACCCAAUCCCGACACGGGGAGGUAGUGACAAUAAAUACUGAUACAGGGCUCUUUUGGGUCUUGUAAUUGGAAUGAGUACAAUUUAAAUCCCUUAACGAGGAACAAUUGGAGGGCAAGUCUGGUGCCAGCAGCCGCGGUAAUUCCAGCUCCAAUAGCGUAUAUUAAAGUUGUUGCAGUUAAAAAGCUCGUAGUUGAACCUUGGGCCUGGCUGGCCGGUCCGCCUCACCGCGUGUACUGGUCCGGCCGGGCCUUUCCUUCUGGGGAACCUCAUGCCCUUCACUGGGCGUGUUGGGGAACCAGGACUUUUACUUUGAAAAAAUUAGAGUGUUCAAAGCAGGCCUUUGCUCGAAUACAUUAGCAUGGAAUAAUAGAAUAGGACGUGUGGUUCUAUUUUGUUGGUUUCUAGGACCGCCGUAAUGAUUAAUAGGGAUAGUCGGGGGCAUCAGUAUUCAAUCGUCAGAGGUGAAAUUCUUGGAUUGAUUGAAGACUAACUACUGCGAAAGCAUUUGCCAAGGAUGUUUUCAUUAAUCAGUGAACGAAAGUUAGGGGAUCGAAGACGAUCAGAUACCGUCGUAGUCUUAACCAUAAACUAUGCCGACUAGGGAUCGGACGGUGUUAGUAUUUUGACCCGUUCGGCACCUUACGAGAAAUCAAAGUUUUUNGGUNNUGGGGGGAGUNUNGNNCGC
rnacentral:rRNA from 1 species